rnacentral:rRNA from 1 species
AAUAGAUACCCUGGUAGUCCACGCCGUAAACGAUGAGUGCUAAGUGUUAGGGGGUUUCCGCCCCUUAGUGCUGCAGCUAACGCAUUAAGCACUCCGCCUGGGGAGUACGGUCGCAAGACUGAAACUCAAAGGAAUUGACGGGGGCCCGCACAAGCGGUGGAGCAUGUGGUUUAAUUCGAAGCAACGCGAAGAACCUUACCAGGUCUUGACAUCCCAUUGACCACUAUGGAGACAUAGUUUUCCCUUCGGGGACAACGGUGACAGGUGGUGCAUGGUUGUCGUCAGCUCGUGUCGUGAGAUGUUGGGUUAAGUCCCGCAACGAGCGCAACCCUUGUUCUUAGUUGCCAUCAUUUAGUUGGGCACUCUAAGGAGACUGCCGGUGACAAACCGGAGGAAGGUGGGGAUGACGUCAAAUCAUCAUGCCCCUUAUGACCUGGGCUACACACGUGCUACAAUGGACGGUACAAACGGUUGCCAACCCGCGAGGGGGAGCUAAUCCGAUAAAACCGUUCUCAGUUCGGAUUGUAGGCUGCAACUCGCCUACA